UACGAAGGGGGCUAGCGUUGUUCGGAAUUACUGGGCGUAAAGCGCGUGUAGGCGGGUCUUUUAAGUCAGGGGUGAAAUGCCAAGGCUCAACCUUGGAACUGCCUUUGAUACUGGAGAUCUUGAGUCCGGGAGAGGUGAGUGGAACUGCGAGUGUAGAGGUGAAAAUUCGUAGAUAUUCGCAAAGAACACCGGUGGCGAAGGCGGCCAACUGGACCAUUACUGAGAG
rnacentral:rRNA from 1 species